GAUGAACGCUAGCUACAGGCUUAACACAUGCAAGUCGAGGGGCAGCAUGGUCUUAGCUUGCUAAGGUCCGAUGGCGACCGGCGCACGGGUGAGUAACACGUAUCCAACCUGCCGUCUACGUCUUGGACAGCCUUCUGAAAGGAAGAUUAAUACAAGAUGGCAUCAUGAGUCCGCAUGUUCACAUGAUUAAAGGUAUUCCGGUAGACGAUGGGGAUGCGUUCCAUUAGAUAGUAGGCGGGGUAACGGCCACCUAGUCUUCGAUGGAUAGGGGUUCUGAGAGGAAGGUCCCCACAUUGGAACUGAGACACGGUCCAAACUCCUACGGGAGGCAGCAGUAGGGAAUUUUCGUCAAUGGGGGAACCCUGAACGAGCAAUGCCGCGUGAGUGAAGAAGGAUUCGGUCUGUAAGCUCUGUUGUAAAGGAAAAGAUGCGGAAAGGGAAUGAUCCGCAAGUGAUGGUACUUUACCAGAAAGCC
rnacentral:rRNA from 1 species